rnacentral:rRNA from 1 species
AGUGAACGCUGGCGGCGUGCUUAACACAUGCAAGUCGAACGAGAACGGGUUAUAGCUUGCUAUAAUUGUCAGCUAAGUGGCGCACGGGUGAGUAAUGUAUAGGUAAUAUGCCUCUUACUAAGGGAUAACAAAUGGAAACGUUUGCUAAUACCUUAUACUCCUUAUUAACAUAAGUUAAUAAGGGAAAGAUUUAUUGGUAAGAGAUUAGCCUGUAUUGUAUCAGUUAGUUGGUGGGGUAAUGGCUUACCAAGACUAUGACACAUAACUGGUUUGAGAGGAUGAUCAGUCACACUGGAACUGAGACACGGUCCAGACUCCUACGGGAGGCAGCAGUGGGGAAUAUUGCACAAUGGACGAAAGUCUGAUGCAGCAGCGCCGCGUGGAGGAUGACACAUUUCGGUGCGUAAACUCCUUUUAUAUGAGAAGAUAAUGACGGUAUUAUAUGAAUAAGCACCGGCUAACUUCGUGCCAGCCGCCGCCGUAA